AAAAAAAUUUGGAGAUGGCAAGGAGGAGAACCAAAAAACGUGACCUACCCUUGUCAAAGCCAUGCUAGACUGGCCUUUCUCAGCUAGCCUUGCCCAGCCUCCCCUAGAAAGACAACCAAGCAAACCCUCUCUCACAGAUCUAGCACACGAGGACGAUACAAUGGUUGUGUGGUGUGCAGUGGUUGAUAGGUAGUGUUUGGCUGCUUAAUGCUCGCGUUCUAGGUAGUGACACAAGUUCAAUAAUCUGGUGAGCGGUGACUACUUUCCUGUGAUUGCAGAAUGGUACUACAAGUGUGUGUGCCGGUUGCUCAUUCUGUCGGAUGAUGCCAAGUGGAUCUUCAUAAAACUCUUCAGAACGAAACAUCCUUCCGGUUUCAGAUGUCAUGACCUGUGAUGUCCGUUGUCAGUAGGAGUUACGACAUGGAUUUUUGUUGUACUUCUAGUAAAGUUCCUGUGUAAACUCAAUCUUAUGUCGUAAAACAGGCACUUGCAGUUCAUGUGUAACACUCGAUGCAUGCAGCACCCCAUCAGUACUGUGCUGAUUUUUUUUUUCUAACUGAUCUGUGUAAUAUGACUUGUACUGUCCGAGUUGUGUUUGAGGUCUGGUUAGAGGCAGUACGUACAUGAUUUUUUUGUUA